AGGAAUGUACCGCUUUGGCAGUGCAGUACUAGCUGGCUGUUUUGGAUACCUGUUGUUUUACAGCUGCUGGUUGCACUCCAUACUGUUGCAUUCCCA